rnacentral:tRNA from 1 species
GGGGAUUUGGCUCAGUGGUAGAGCGCUUGCCUAGGAAGCGCAAGGCCCUGGGUUCGGUUCCCAGCCCCG